GAUGAAGAACGUAGCAAAAUGCGAUAAGUAAUGUGAAUUGCAGAGUUCAGUGAAUCAUCGAAUCUUUGAACGCACAUUGCGCCCGCUGGUAUUCCGGCGGGCAUGCCUGUUCGAGCGUCAUUUCAACCCUCAAGCCCCCGGGUUUGGUGUUGGGGAUCGGCUCUGCCCUUCUGGGCGGUGCCGCCCCCGAAAUACAUUGGCGGUCUCGCUGCAGCCUCCAUUGCGUAGUAGCUAACACCUCGCAACUGGAACGCGGCGCGGCCAUGCCGUAAAACCCCAACUUCUGAAUGUUGACCUCGGAUCAGGUAGGAAUACCCGCUGAACUUAAGCAUAUCAAUAAGCGGAGGA
rnacentral:misc_RNA from 1 species